CCAGUGCCGACCCCAACCGGAGCCCUUUCAGCAGAGUCUCCCUUCUCCCACCCCUACCCAGUUCCACGUUAAUGUCCACACUUUACCGGCACCGUGACAUCCUCUUGCAGCCUUCUGAUUCUCUUCUCUGUGCCUCGUCUCUCAACUCUGCUGUCUCACAGCUUGAACUCUCCCUAUCUCUGGACUGGAUCUCUUGGGUCGCUAAGGGACCCUGUACCUCGGGGCUGCCUCCACCAUCUACCAGAAUGUGACAAGGGAGACAAUAAUGGCCACCAUGCUUGAUACUAAGAGGGCUACACUUCAGAUAUUCAUUAGCACCUGGAAAGACAUCAGCCCACUAUCGAGAGAAUCAGGUGCCUCAUGUGCCAGCCUGAGGAGGAGUAUUUUUCAAGCCCUGGACCCAGCGCUGUGCCAAGGCAGUUCAGGGAGGAGCUGACUGUCUUGGAUAAGGACACUGAAAUCUGAAACGAAAGCCUGGAUAAAUUCAGUCCACUGACUGAAGGAAAAAAUGAGAAAGUUCACAGUGCAGAGUCUGUUCCUGGGAAGGGCUGGACCAGCAGAGGGCACUGGGGCACCAAGGAUAAGUUUGAAAAGUCCUGUGGGCUUGAAACACCAGGAGAAGAAAGGACAGAUAGCGGG
rnacentral:lncRNA from 1 species